GUACACUCCUGCGGGAGGCAGCAGUGGGGAAUUUUGGACAAUGGGCGAAAGCCUGAUCCAGCAAUGCCGCGUGAGUGAAGACGGCCUUCGGGUUGUAAAGCUCUUUUGUCAGGGAAGAAACGGUGAAAGCUAAUAUCUUUUGCUAAUGACGGUACCUGAAGAAUAAGCACCGGCUAACUACGUGCCAGCAGCCGCGGUAAUACGUAGGGUGCAAGCGUUAAUCGGAAUUACUGGGCGUAAAGCGUGCGCAGGCGGUUUUGUAAGUCUGAUGUGAAAUCCCCGGGCUCAACCUGGGAAUUGCAUUGGAGACUGCAAGGCUAGAAUCUGGCAGAGGGGGGUAGAAUUCCACGUGUAGCAGUGAAAUGCGUAGAUAUGUGGAGGAACACCGAUGGCGAAGGCAGCCCCCUGGGUCAAGAUUGACGCUCAUGCACGAAAGCGUGGGGAGCAAACAGGAUUAGAAACCCGAGUAGUCCCAUGAU
rnacentral:rRNA from 1 species